UGUGCCCAUUGUUUUGGUUUACCGUAGAAAGAACCGAGCUCCUCCCAACAAUCAGCAACAGGUGGAACAGUCCAGAUGUCCUCCUUGGUAGACAAACGUAAGGAUAAAAUCUACAGCUGGAAGAAAUCACCGAACAAGAGUCAGUUGAGAGUUUUACCCGUGUCUCCUCCAAGCAGCAAAGAUUCAUCUACAUCAAAGCCCAGAGCCAAAAGUCGAGCAGAAAUUCUGUUUGAUCAGAUCCAACACUCA